CAAAGGUAGUUGACGAGUUACUGUUCACUUUUCAAAGACACAUUGUUAGACGCUGCAUAAGCAAAUAUUAUUUCUCUUUUAUUAAUUUCGUUUUGUUGAGAUCAAAAUAUAACUACGUUAUAUCUCUCUUUAUCUCUCUAUGUCCUGUCUGUCUGUCUCCCCCCCUCUUCAUGCAAAUUUGGGUUCUCUUAUCUCGUUCGACGCCCUUGGUUUUCCGCGGCUCGAGUUUAAAAGAUCAAGAUUCUGCUCGCUGGUGGAGAACAUGGUGCUGAGAGGGUUUCGUUGCCUUUAUACACUAAAGCCGCUGUAAAUCUUAUAAGAAAAAGGCCAAUGAGUUCCUUUGUAGCUCAUGGUAAAUGAUAUUAAAGUUAUUCUGAGUUCCCAUUGUCUUUGCUUUCAAUAUGCAUUCGCUUCAGCCUUUCAUCAUCAGUUUUUUGGAUAGUUGCUUGAGCAUACUGGCAAAUCUAACAUGUCCAAGUUUGAAGUCAUAUGUAUCCUACCAGUACUUUUAUUUUGAUCAUCUAUCUUUCUCUCAAUUAUGAUGAUUUUCUUGUUA